CGUCUUCCACAACCAUUUCUCAUUCUCGUUUUUUUAUCUCGUUCUUUGCUCCUUGCAAGAGAUAAGUUUCUCUCUCAGGUUUCUCUUAUUCGCAACUUCCGCCACUCUCCUGAAGAAUUUGUUCCUUAGUGCUACUUCUCUUCCAUUUUGCUCUUUCGCUCCAUCGAAUUGAAGCUUCUGGUACCAACCCUAACCCUAGCCCUCUUCUCCGUGCAUUCUCGAUCUAUCGCAGGCUUUUCUCUCAAUUUUCUUAUUCUGUUACCGUUCAAUUUCCACGCUUCUAAUCCCUGACUGGAUCGACUAUCUGAAAAUCGAAUACACUC
rnacentral:lncRNA from 1 species